rnacentral:rRNA from 1 species
GAUGAACGCUGGCGGCGUGCCUAAUACAUGCAAGUCGAGCGAACAGACGAGGAGCUUGCUUCUCUGACGUUAGCGGCGGACGGGUGAGUAACACGUGGAUAACCUACCUAUAAGACUGGGAUAACUUCGGGAAACCGGAGCUAAUACCGGAUAAUAUUUUGAACCGCAUGGUUCAAUAGUGAAAGACGGUCUUGCUGUCACUUAUAGAUGGAUCCGCGCUGCAUUAGCUAGUUGGUAAGGUAACGGCUUACCAAGGCAACGAUGCGUAGCCGACCUGAGAGGGUGAUCGGCCACACUGGAACUGAGACACGGUCCAGACUCCUACGGGAGGCAGCAGUAGGGAAUCGUCCGCAAUGGGCGAAAGCCUGACGGAGCAACGCCGCGUGAGUGAUGAAGGUCUUCGGAUCGUAAAACUCUGUUAUUAGGGAAGAACAUAUGUGUAAGUAACUGUGCACAUCUUGACGGUACCUAAUCAGAAAGCCACGGCUAACUACGUG